ACUAAGCGUACACGGUGGAUGCCCUGGCAGUCAGAGGCGAUGAAGGACGUGCUAAUCUGCGAUAAGCGUCGGUAAGGUGAUAUGAACCGUUAUAACCGGCGAUUUCCGAAUGGGGAAACCCAGUGUGAUUCGUCACACUAUCAUUAACUGAAUCCAUAGGUUAAUGAGGCGAACCGGGGGAACUGAAACAUCUAAGUACCCCGAGGAAAAGAAAUCAACCGAGAUUCCCCCAGUAGCGGCGAGCGAACGGGGAGCAGCCCAGAGCCUGAAUCAGUGUGUGUGUUAGUGGAAGCGUCUGGAAAGGCGCGCGAUACAGGGUGACAGCCCCGUACACAAAAAUGCACAUACUGUGAGCUCGAUGAGUAGGGCGGGACACGUGGUAUCCUGUCUGAAUAUGGGGGGACCAUCCUCCAAGGCUAAAUACUCCUGACUGACCGAUAGUGAACCAGUACCGUGAGGGAAAGGCGAAAAGAACCCCGGCGAGGGGAGUGAAAAAGAACCUGAAACCGUGUACGUACAAGCAGUGGGAGCACGCUUAGGCGUGUGACUGCGUACCUUUUGUAUAAUGGGUCAGCGACUUAUAUUCUGUAGCAAGGUUAACCGAAUAGGGGAGCCGAAGGGAAACCGAGUCUUAACUGGGCGUUAAGUUGCAGGGUAUAGACCCGAAACCCGGUGAUCUAGCCAUGGGCAGGUUGAAGGUUGGGUAACACUAACUGGAGGACCGAACCGACUAAUGUUGAAAAAUUAGCGGAUGACUUGUGGCUGGGGGUGAAAGGCCAAUCAAACCGGGAGAUAGCUGGUUCUCCCCGAAAGCUAUUUAGGUAGCGCCUCGUGAAUUCAUCUCCGGGGGUAGAGCACUGUUUCGGCAAGGGGGUCAUCCCGACUUACCAACCCGAUGCAAACUGCGAAUACCGGAGAAUGUUAUCACGGGAGACACACGGCGGGUGCUAACGUCCGUCGUGAAGAGGGAAACAACCCAGACCGCCAGCUAAGGUCCCAAAGUCAUGGUUAAGUGGGAAACGAUGUGGGAAGGCCCAGACAGCCAGGAUGUUGGCUUAGAAGCAGCCAUCAUUUAAAGAAAGCGUAAUAGCUCACUGGUCGAGUCGGCCUGCGCGGAAGAUGUAACGGGGCUAAACCAUGCACCGAAGCUGCGGCAGCGACGCUUAUGCGUUGUUGGGUAGGGGAGCGUGCUGUAAGCCUGCGAAGGUGUGCUGUGAGGCAUGCUGGAGGUAUCAGAAGUGCGAAUGCUGACAUAAGUAACGAUAAAGCGGGUGAAAAGCCCGCUCGCCGGAAGACCAAGGGUUCCUGUCCAACGUUAAUCGGGGCAGGGUGAGUCGACCCCUAAGGCGAGGCCGAAAGGCGUAGUCGAUGGGAAACAGGUUAAUAUUCCUGUACUUGGUGUUACUGCGAAGGGGGGACGGAGAAGGCUAUGUUGGCCGGGCGACGGUUGUCCCGGUUUAAGCGUGUAGGCUGGUUUUCCAGGCAAAUCCGGAAAAUCAAGGCUGAGGCGUGAUGACGAGGCACUACGGUGCUGAAGCAACAAAUGCCCUGCUUCCAGGAAAAGCCUCUAAGCAUCAGGUAACAUCAAAUCGUACCCCAAACCGACACAGGUGGUCAGGUAGAGAAUACCAAGGCGCUUGAGAGAACUCGGGUGAAGGAACUAGGCAAAAUGGUGCCGUAACUUCGGGAGAAGGCACGCUGAUAUGUAGGUGAAGUCCCUCGCGGAUGGAGCUGAAAUCAGUCGAAGAUACCAGCUGGCUGCAACUGUUUAUUAAAAACACAGCACUGUGCAAACACGAAAGUGGACGUAUACGGUGUGACGCCUGCCCGGUGCCGGAAGGUUAAUUGAUGGGGUUAGCGCAAGCGAAGCUCUUGAUCGAAGCCCCGGUAAACGGCGGCCGUAACUAUAACGGUCCUAAGGUAGCGAAAUUCCUUGUCGGGUAAGUUCCGACCUGCACGAAUGGCGUAAUGAUGGCCAGGCUGUCUCCACCCGAGACUCAGUGAAAUUGAACUCGCUGUGAAGAUGCAGUGUACCCGCGGCAAGACGGAAAGACCCCGUGAACCUUUACUAUAGCUUGACACUGAACAUUGAGCCUUGAUGUGUAGGAUAGGUGGGAGGCUUUGAAGUGUGGACGCCAGUCUGCAUGGAGCCGACCUUGAAAUACCACCCUUUAAUGUUUGAUGUUCUAACGUGGACCCGUAAUCCGGGUUGCGGACAGUGUCUGGUGGGUAGUUUGACUGGGGCGGUCUCCUCCUAAAGAGUAACGGAGGAGCACGAAGGUUGGCUAAUCCUGGUCGGACAUCAGGAGGUUAGUGCAAUGGCAUAAGCCAGCUUGACUGCGAGCGUGACGGCGCGAGCAGGUGCGAAAGCAGGUCAUAGUGAUCCGGUGGUUCUGAAUGGAAGGGCCAUCGCUCAACGGAUAAAAGGUACUCCGGGGAUAACAGGCUGAUACCGCCCAAGAGUUCAUAUCGACGGCGGUGUUUGGCACCUCGAUGUCGGCUCAUCACAUCCUGGGGCUGAAGUAGGUCCCAAGGGUAUGGCUGUUCGCCAUUUAAAGUGGUACGCGAGCUGGGUUUAGAACGUCGUGAGACAGUUCGGUCCCUAUCUGCCGUGGGCGCUGGAGAACUGAGGGGGGCUGCUCCUAGUACGAGAGGACCGGAGUGGACGCAUCACUGGUGUUCGGGUUGUCAUGCCAAUGGCACUGCCCGGUAGCUAAAUGCGGAAGAGAUAAGUGCUGAAAGCAUCUAAGCACGAAACUUGCCCCGAGAUGAGUUCUCCCUGACUCCUUGAGAGUCCUGAAGGAACGUUGAAGACGACGACGUUGAUAGGCCGGGUGUGUAAGCGCAGCGAUGCGUUGAGCUAACCGGUACUAAUGAACCGUGAGGCUUAACC
rnacentral:rRNA from 1 species